rnacentral:rRNA from 1 species
UACGGGGGGGGCAAGCGUUGUUCGGAAUUACUGGGCGUAAAGGCUCGUAGGCGGCCAACUAAGUCGGACGUGAAAUCCCUCGGCUUAACCGGGGAACUGCGUCCGAUACUGGAUGGCUUGAGUUUGGGAGAGGGAUGCGGAAUUCCAGGUGUAGCGGUGAAAUGCGUAGAUAUCUGGAGGAACACCGUGGCGAAGGCGGCAUCCUGGACCAACACUGACGCUGAGGAGCGAAAGCCAGGGGGGAGCAAACGGG